CACGAAACAGUGUCGAUGAUCCAAAUGUGCAUCACAGGACGAACGGACAAGUGAUGAUAUCCCACGCAAUGGCAUGGUACUUGGCCUUGGAGAAGAAGGAUUUAGACCUCGGACUGUCCCACAGAAGACCCUCCAGUGCAGCCUACAUUCACAUGGAUUCCCACAGUGGGCCAACCUCCAAAAACAAGGCAGAUAUUGCAGCUGACAGCAGACGCCUCUCAAUUCCUCGUCCACAAACGGAGCACAACAGGGCUGGGGUGGACGGCGGAGGCAGAGCGCUCGCCACUGCGCGUGAGGCACCUCUUGGAUCCUCGGCACCACGUGUCAUUGCGUCCACCUACAACUAAGAAUGAACAUCAGCACACAAAACCAAACAGACGGAGCACGGCAUUUCAAUUCUCUG
rnacentral:lncRNA from 1 species